CGCCCUCCCCCACUGUGUUUCACACAGUGAUGUCAUCGGUUGCCGCCGGCGCCGGGCGGGCCCUUGGCCAAUAGGACAAAGGCACUGUAGGGCGCAGCCUGUCCCUCUCGGGAUUUUCUUUCUUUCUUUUUACUCUCUCUCUCUUUUCCUUUCAUCAGGUGCUCUCUCGUCCGCCCUCUCGUUUUCUGCCCCUCUUUCUUUUUGACUUAUUCAACUCAGCCAGCGGGCGGCUGCAGAAGUUGAGGCUUUAGGUCUUUCACUGCUGAUGAAGAAUGAAGAUGAUUAGGCCGGCUGGGAGAAUAUUUCACGGCAGGAGAGGCUACAGCGAUUGUCCAAGUCCAGUAAAGGGAAGUGAUGGAUGGCCUUCCCACUACACUCUGGACUCGAGAGUUACUCUGUAUCUGCUGUCAGAGUCUGAAAACCCCACUUGUCAGGAGACAUUUCCCUUUAACAUGCUGAUCUUGCUCAAAUAAAUAAAUAACAUACCAGGGCUUUAUUUCUGCAUCUAAA